rnacentral:rRNA from 1 species
AUUGAACGCUGGCGGCAUGCCUUACACAUGCAAGUCGAACGGUAACAGGUUAAGCUGACGAGUGGCGAACGGGUGAGUAAUGUAUCGGAACGUGCCCAGUUGUGGGGGAUAACUGCUCGAAAGAGCAGCUAAUACCGCAUACGACCUGAGGGUGAAAGCGGGGGAUCGUAAGACCUCGCGCAAUUGGAGCGGCCGAUCUCAGAUUAGGUAGGUGGUGGGGUAAAGGCUCACCAAGCCGACGAUCUGUAGCUGGUCUGAGAGGACGACCAGCCACCCUGGGGCUGAGACAACGCCCGGACUCCUGCGGGAGGCAGCAGUGGGGAAUUUUGGACACUGGGCGCAAGCCUGAUCCAGCCAUGCCGCGUUCGGGAAGAAGGCCUUCGGGUUGUAAAGCCCUGUCAGGUGGGAAGAAACCUGUCGAUGCCAAUAACAUCGAUAGUUGACGGUACCACCGGAGGAAGCACCGGCUAACUCCGUGCCAGCCGCCGCGGUAACAC